rnacentral:rRNA from 1 species
GAUGAACGCUAGCUACAGGCUUAACACAUGCAAGUCGAGGGGCAGCAUGAACAAAGCUUGCUUUGUUUGAUGGCGACCGGCGCACGGGUGCGUAACACGUAUCCAAUCUGCCCGCGGCUCGGGGAUAGCCCAUCGAAAGAUGGAUUAAUACCCGAUGGCGUGGUCACUCCGCAUGGGGUUUCCACUAAAGGUAUUCCGGCCGCGGAUGAGGAUGCGUAUGAUUAGGUAGUAGGCGGGGUAACGCCCACCUAGCCUUCGAUCAUUAGGGGUUCUGAGAGGAAGGUCCCCCACACUGGAACUGAGACACGGUCCAGACUCCUACGGGAGCAGCAGUGAGGAAUAUUGGCAAUGGGCGAGAGCCUGAACCAGCCAAGUAGCGUAGAAGGAGACUGCCCUAUGGG